CGGCAACAGCUCAAAUUUGAAAUCUGGCUUUCGGGCCCGAGUUGUAAUUUGUAGAGGAUACUUUUGAUGCGGUGCCUUCCGAGUUCCCUGGAACGGGACGCCAUAGAGGGUGAGAAUCCCGUCU
rnacentral:rRNA from 1 species